rnacentral:misc_RNA from 1 species
AUCUACCCGGUCCUCUUGGGAAGCCGACGCGACCCACACGCCAGUCCGCCCCCCCGGCCUCGUCGUGCGAGGGGCGGCCGCGGCGCGGGCGUCGCGCGCCCCCGGACAAAGCGGCCGUCAGGCCCUCGUCUCGGUCGGGCUCCCGACGUCCCGCGAUCGCUCUCGGAUGCGGCACAUGCUGCGGGCUUCGGGGACUUCGUUCCUCGACCCGGACCUCGGUCGGUCGUCGAGCCGCCCUCGUCGAGACGACGGUCGGCCCGCCGUCGGGCCCAU